CGGGCACUCUGAAUUAGUCCUGUCUGCUCAGAAGAACAUUGCCUCUCCUUACCAAUUUUCUAAUUAUAACGAACAUACACAAUUGUUAAAAAUUCUUGCCAGCCUUUGGACAAUUACAAAACAGCAUUUUUCAUCAAAGGACACCUGGAGUAUGACUUAUAGGCACUUACAAUCCAGAAAGAUAAGGUAAUCAAACUCUGGAAGAAUUCUGCCAGCCGGGACCCUUUAGGUAGAAGGCAGUGAGGUAGACUUCCGUGGAUCUACCAGGGCAACAAAAGAGAAGAGGCAGAGCCCUUCUGAGCUAUUCAGCAGGGAGAAGACUGAGAUGCUGAAAAUGUGGCUAAAGACACAGUAGUACUAAAUCCCUUUCAAAAAGAGUAAUACUAACAAAAACAAAGGCAAGUUGAAAAUGUGGUGGACCUCACCCUCAGACCAGGUGAGCCUUCAGAUUCUGCACCUCGCUGGCCGUGCAUAAAGAAGGCUGGGACAUCCCUGAAUUCACAGUCAGGGUGGUCGUCUGUGUGCAGAACUGAAAGCAAACAAGAGAAACGUGGAGCCACGGAGGCCAAGGAAAUCUGAUCAGCUCCAGAUCCCCAAGUUGGUCUUUUUACACCCCUAAAGACACCAUGCUUGCUCCUUCUCCAAGACUCAUAAGGAAAUACAAAUGACUUUGAAAUAUCAGCCACUGUUAACUGGAUCAGAUUCCUCCAGUAAAUAUGAGAGAAGAGUCAUGACUUUUGCUCAGUCAUUAAAAUAAGAGACACAAGGAUUGGUAUGGGGUAUCCCUAGCAGAAUUUAUUCAAGGAAGCCUAAUCAAUAUCCCCCAUCUCACUAUUUCUUCAGACACGUGCUAAGUUUACAUAUUCGAAUCAAAUUAACAUAUCAGAGUCACAAAUUGGCAAUGGUGUCAAAAUACCUAUCCUCACCAUUCUAAAUCAUUUUUCACAUUAAAUAUGUCAAGGGCUAUGUUUGCGUGCAUAAGUCAAAAGAAGAGAAAUAAAGCAAUACAUUAAGAAGUUGGUGACAUAAGCUUAUUUAUUUAGUUAUUUAUUUUUGCCUAUUACUGGUAGAGAAAAAUGUAUUUAGUUUGCUCUAUUACAGGUAGAGAAAAAUUAUAUUUUGUUGUUCUGAGUGAAACCAGUGAUAAUCAUUUUACCUCUUCUUUUAAGUAGUAUAGAAGUCUAACAUUUUCAUUGCUUAUUGCCAGAACUUAAGUGCUAAGAUUUUUUCUAUAUUGUCUGAUUUGAUUCAUACAUAUAAUGUUGAGAUUCAAGAAUUAUUAUCCCAUUUACCAGAUGAGGAAGUGGAGGUACAGAAGUUUUAGAAAAGGGAAUUAGCCUCCGCUUCUAUUCUAUUAAGCCACUAUAUUUCAGAAGGCAUAGAGUAUCUAUUUUGCAUUUGGGUUGGGGGAGAUGGAGAUUUGCCCUAACUUUGAUUCUUUUAGGUCAAGAAUAAUUUCUUUCAGAACCCGGAUGGUUUUCUUAUUUCCAUAAAAUGGGUUGCCACAUUAGGCCUCAGAGUCCACCAAAUGAACGGUUCUUCUCUUCUGCUGUCCCUCAAAUUUGUGAUAUGUAAAAUAUGUGUGAAGAUGCAGAUAACAUGUGGGAUCUCAUUGGCUCUACCAUUCCUUAGAGAAAAUGUAAUUGUUAUUGAUUCUAACUGAUCAUUCAAAAAUUAAGUUCCUCCAAAUUUACUCUUUUUCUAAUUGAAGGUUCCAGCUGCCAUGGGAUUGAGAUUUCCUAUUUUUUUUUUUCUUGUCCCGAAACUCUCUGUCAAAGAUUUUAUUUCUCUAGGCAACCAGCUGGUUUUUCACAUAGAUAAGGUCAAUUAAUUUGACCUUUGGUUCAAUAUGAAAUGCAUAAUAAAAGCUGGUGCCCCAAGGACCGGAUGUGGCCUUUCAAAAAAGUAACUUGCCAGGACAGGGAACAAUAAUUUAUUACCUCAUAAACCCCAGUUGAAAUGCCUGUUGCCCAGCAUAGCAAUGACAAGGAGCUUGUGUGUCUUUAUUUAUUUAUUUUUAUUCUAUGCAAUAGAGAGAGGGGAGGAAAAUAAAAAAAUAAAUAAAUAAAACAAGCACCUGCCCCAUUCAGGGAGGAAAAAUGGCAAAGGCAAAAAAGAUCUACUCGUACUGCUUGAAUUUUUGUUUUAUAGCAAGUUUUCAUCCACUACACAAAAAUUCUUAGAGACAGGCUCGGGAAAGUUUAUUAUCAACUAUAAAAUUUUGUUAAAUUGUAUUUCAUCGCUUGAAUUUUGAGAGAUACAGGAAAUCUUUGUGAAGCGAUUUGAAAUAGAGAACCAAAAUUGCUAUGUAUAGUCAACAUCCAAAAUGACUACUAAUCAGGAUAAAUUUAUCUAUGGAUCUGUUUGGUGGAUAUAUUUAUAUAUCUAAUUUUAACAAAUUCAUGAGGCUGUGAACUCUUAUAUUUCAGUUUUUACUUAAUUCUGUAUCGCUAUCAUUCUGUAUGCCAUUAGCAUCCUUCAUAUGUGGUAUUUAUUCCUUUGCAUAAAUGUGUUAUAACUGGCGUUUGUGUCUAGUUUUAUCUGAUAUUUUAAACAACCCUGAAUGAAACUCCUUUACAUAAGUCAUUGAUCACAUCCUUGAUUAUGUCUUAGAAAUGGGCGAUCUCAACAAAACAUACAAAUAUCUUAAAGCUAUUGAAAACUAUUCUCUCAGUAUAAUUCACCAUUUCUAGCCACCAUGUAGUUUUUAAUCCAUUCCUUCAGCUGUUCCUUUGAAAUAGUACUUUUAGUAUACGUGGAAUUAUGGAUAAAACAGACUGUAGAAAAUAUUUAAACCUCAAAAUGUAGACACGUGCCUAAAACGAAUCUUAGCUCUGUGAAUGCCCUUCAUUGGGGAAUUUUUACAGAUAAUGAGAUGCAAGUUUUGGAACUCCAGUGGGAGUUUUGAAUAAGGGGCAAUUUCUGAGUAAUGGUGUAAUGGAGUCAUAGUAAUGGUGCAAUAGAGUAAUGGUGUAAUACCCCACAGUGUGGGGUACAAGAGAAGCUUUGAGAAUCUAGAAUGCACCAGGUCCUUUUAGGUAGGAGACAAAAAAUGCAGCCAAAGUGGGGAAGGGGUGGAAAGGAAAAUAAAAUAGUCCUGGAAACAAACAAACCUAUUACAAAAUUUUUACACAGCUACUUGUGUGACCUUCUGGUGAGAAUGCAACUUAGAAUCACUUUCCUAGAGAGCUACUUGGGAAUAUCUAUCUAAAGGCUUAAAUAACAGAUACUCUGUCUAAGCAAAUACAAUUUGAAGUCUUCAUACCCAGAAAAUCAUCAUCGAUAUCCCAAACAACUAUUGUAACAGAAUUUAACUUUUACAAAUAAAAAAUUAAAUAAAAUUUGUUUCAUCUUUCCAAAAUUUUUUAUAUGCAAAUAGUGAGAAAGAGAGAGGGAGGGGCAAACAAUUUAUACCAGGUAUUUUGUUUGCAACUGGCUUCUUUUUAUUCAUUUACCAAUAUAUUAAUGGUGGUUAUUGCUGGUUUCUAAUUUUAUGGUGAUACUAAAUUUUCUUAUUUUUUCAAACUUCAAAACACAAAGACAAAAAGCCAUCAACAAAUGCUAUUUUGCUAUAUCUAUAGAUGAUUCAGUACUGCAUAUCAAAAUGGGAAAAAUUUCUUUUCCCAUAUUCUUUCAUUCAGUGGUUCCCCAUACUCACUUGUAACCGCAAACUGGAUGUACGGUUAAUGCCAUUUGUGCUCUAUUUCAAAGACAUUAUUAGUUAAAUAGCCUUCUUUUUAAGUAUCUUAAGAACCUAGCCACAAUUUAUAUUAUUGUUUUCAUGGGAAAAACAUGUUCCAAGUUUCAAACAGCUAGUGUAAAAACAAAUCCAAAACAGUUUGCAUGUAUGUUGAAGACCGUCUAUUCAGUUUUUUGUUUGUUUGUUUUUACUCCUGAAAGCUAGUUGGUGUCUUGAAGUCAUGAAUUGCCUGAGAGUACAAUAUACCCAGUGCCGGAAAUUGUGGCCUGACCUUUAGUUAAGAAAGACUUCCUUCUAGAUCUCUGUCUUACAGAGACCAUUCUUUCCAUGAGAAUUUCUUUAUUAUUUUUGAAGUUAUCAAUUGAAAUCACAAUUUACUGAUUUGUGUGUGAAGUAAGUCUGACACAAAACAGGGAAUCAUAUUUAAGACUACUAAGUUAUCCCCUUCUCAUUACUUUUUUUUUGUUUGAUUGUAGAAAAACCUCUAUAGAGCCAUAUCUCUCUAAUACUUGUAUUAUAUUUAUCUCCAGAGAUCUAGCUUGCUCAAAAGGAGACUAUUAUCUGACUGCCUGAAUAGAUCCCAUUACAGGAAAAAUUGACUGAAAUAUUGUCAAAUGUGUUCCAGCAAUAAAAUUCAGGUAAUCUGUGACACUGGAGUUUGGCCCAGAGGAAGAACGCACAGUGGAGAUAAAGAGAUGUGUGCCAAGAAAGCCGAAUAUUCAGAUCAGAUGGGAUGCAGAUGAACAUCUGUGCUGGGAAAAAAAAAAAAAAAAGAAAAAAAAAAGCCAAGGACAGAUACUCUCCCAAUGUUGAAAUAACUGUACAGAAUUCUACCCCUACAAAAUCUCUCUUUUUUUAUAGAGUUUUUCAUUUAAAGAAAUAGUGUUUCUGCACUGCACUUAAAGGUUAUUUGCCUGCUCCUUUGCAGGUGUGUGUGUGUGUGUGUGUGUGUGUGUGUGUGUUUCUUUUUUCAGUUUACCAAUUCAAAGGCGCAGGCCAACCUCCUAUUAUUUGUGUCCAUAUUUAAAGUGGGCUUGACAGUCAGAUUUUUGCACUGACAGGCACACAAUAAAAAU
rnacentral:lncRNA from 10 species